UCCUUCUUAGCUCAGUUGGUAGAGCGCGUCACUAGUACCGUAGGACAUAAUGACGAGGUCAGUCGUUCAAGUCGGCUAGAAGGAA